CCUACGGGGGACUGCAGUAGGGAAUCUUUCACAAUGGGCGAAAGCCUGAUGGAGCAACGCCGCGUGCAGGAUGAAGGCCUUCGGGUUGUAAACUGCUUUUAUAAGCGAGAAAUAUGAUGGUAACUUAUGAAUAAGGAUCGGCUAACUACGUGCCAGCAGCCGCGGUCAUACGUAGGAUCCGAGCAUUAUCCGGAGUGACUGGGUGUAAAGAGUUGCGUAGGUGGCAGAAUAAGUAGCUAGUGAAAUCUGGUGGCUCAAGCAUUCAGACUAUUAGCUAAAAUGGUAAGCUCGAGACCGUUAGGGGUAACUGGAAUUUCGAGUGUAGGAGUGAAAUCCGUAGAUAUUAGAAGGAACACCAAUAGCGUAGGCAGGUUGCUGGGACGGUUCUGACACUAAGGCACGAAAGCGUAGGGAGCAAACGGGAUUAGAUACCCGUGUAGUC
rnacentral:rRNA from 1 species